UGGGGAAUCUUCCGCAAUGGACGACAGUCUGACGGAGCAACGCCGCGUGAGUGAAGACGGCCUUCGGGUUGUAAAGCUCUGCUAUUCGGGAAGAACGAUUCGUUUGUGAACACUGAACGGAAGUGACGGUACCGAAAGAGAAAGCCACGGCUAACUACGUGCCAGCAGCCGCGGUAAUACGUAGGUGGCAAGCGUUGUCCGGAAUUAUUGGGCGUAAAGAGCGCGUAGGCGGUAUGGUAAGUCUGUCUUAGAAGUGCGGGGCUUAACUCCGUGAGGGGACAGAGACUGUCAUACUGGAGUCUCGGAGAGGAAGGCGGAAUUCCUAGUGUAGCGGUGAAAGGCGUAGAGAUUAGGAAGAACACCGGUGGCGAAGGCGGCUUUCUGGACGAGCAAUGACGAUGAGGCGCGAAAGCGUGGGGAGCGAACAGG
rnacentral:rRNA from 1 species